rnacentral:rRNA from 1 species
GAAGGCAGGUCUCUGGGCUGUUACUGACGCUGAGGAGCGAAAGCAUGGGGAGCGAACAGGAUUAGAUACCCUGGUAGUCCAUGCCGUAAACGUUGGGCACUAGGUGUGGGGAACAUUCCACGUUUUCCGCGCCGUAGCUAACGCAUUAAGUGCCCCGCCUGGGGAGUACGGCCGCAAGGCUAAAACUCAAAGGAAUUGACGGGGGCCCGCACAAGCGGCGGAGCAUGCGGAUUAAUUCGAUGCAACGCGAAGAACCUUACCAAGGCUUGACAUACACCGGACCGGGCCAGAGAUGGUCUUUCCCCCUUGUGGGGCUGGUGUACAGGUGGUGCAUGGUUGUCGUCAGCUCGUGUCGUGAGAUGUUGGGUUAAGUCCCGCAACGAGCGCAACCCUCGUUCUAUGUUGCCAGCACGUGAUGGUGGGGACUCAUAGGAGACUGCCGGGGUCAACUCGGAGGAAGGUGGGGAUGACGUCAAAUCAUCAUGCCCCUUAUGUCUUGGGCUUCACGCAUGCUACAAUGGCCAGUACAAUGGGUUGCGAUGCCGCGAGGUGGAGCUAAUCCCAAAAAGCUGGUCUCAGUUCGGAUCGUGGUCUGCAACUCGACCACGUGAAGUCGGAGUCGCUAGUAAUCGCAGAUCAGCAACGCUGCGGUGAAUACGUUCCCGGGCCUUGUACACACCGCCCGUCAAGUCACGAAAGUUGGUAACACCCGAAGCCGGUGGCCUAACCCUUGUGGGGGGAGCCGUUUGUAAUGAUUGGUUUUACC